CACAAGCGGUGGAUGAUGUGGUUUAAUUCGACGCAACGCGAAAAACCUUACCUACCCUUGACAUGUACGGAACCUCAUAGAGAUGUGAGGGUGCCCGAAAAGG
rnacentral:rRNA from 1 species